UUUAUUUUCUUUUCCUUCCCUUCGUUUCCUUCUUUCCCCGCCGAAGCCUUGCGUGCCCGACACCUCGCCGCACCUUCUCUUCUCCCGAUCGCUUGCCCUAACCCCACAUCUUCGCAAAACCGCCCGACGACGGUUCCAUCCUUCUCCCUCACGACCUCGCUAGAAGCCGAGCACCUCCCCUCUACCUAGCGCCGGAGCCCUAGCUACCGAUCCGUCGCCGAUCGAUUGCCGUCCUUGCCGCAGCACCUUGGCGCCACACGCCUUCGAUUAGGACCGGUGCUAGACGUUUCCUCCUGUUCGCCGGCCAUGAUGAAGACCUAGAUCCGAAGCACCUGUUCACCGGCCGCGACUUCUUCUUCCCUAGCCAGUCGACCGCAACUCCCUCACCCUUCCGAGACACCGCCGACCACAGGAGCCUAGUGCCGGCGCUGUAUGAUCACCGAACUUUCUUCUUUGUUGAUCAUCUGCACCUUCCAACAGUCCUUCUCCCUAGAUCAUUGCCCUUGUGCGGGCAGAUCUUUGAUCAGAAGGGGAAGGAUCCGAGUCUAGUCUAUCUUCACUGCACCAUCCGAAUUAGUCAUGAUACUUCCGGCCAUGGGAAGGUGUUUGAUGAAAUGCCUAAGUUUUCUUAUCACCUCUAUUUGUGUUGGCAACUUCAUCGGCGACCACCUGUUGCUGUGAGUAGCUGCAGGGACUGUAGGCAUCCGCUAUAAGAGGAUGUGAGGACUUUGAGGCGAGACGAACGUCUCGAUGAGGGAUUGGUUUAUCUUCACAUUUGAGGCGGG